GCGCGAGUGGUAGAGUUCGGAAACACGCGGUUGUGCCACGUCCGAGACGGGCGUUCGAACCGCCCUCGCGCA
rnacentral:tRNA from 1 species